ACCAAAGCCCAUUGAGGUCAAUGUGAGUCUUUCUGUUGACUUCAGUGGGCUCAGGAUC
rnacentral:pre_miRNA from 1 species